UUCCACUGAAAUGGGGAAAAAACAUCUUUGCCGUGCAACUCGACAUACAUUCAUAAGAUCUUCAGAUAAGUAUUUUUCUGUAGGACUCGGAUAUUCUCUCUCGGCAAAAGUGAUGAUUCUCCAGCUCCUUUGCCUGUACUGAGAGAUCAGCUUCAUCAGUUCAGUGAGACCUCCUGGGAAAUUAGGGUGAGUAAGUGCGGUCCCUUCUCUUGUGGAGACGAUCUCCCAUGUGUGACCUGCUGGGUCACACCACAUCACAUGCAAAUCUGUGAGUUCCCACUCACGAAGAUGGGACACAUUUGGAUCUGAGCAGUUAAGACCACAGGAUCAUGUGUACAUGGAGACUACAGGCCUCUGCAUGUUCGACCUGUUGGCAAUAGGCCGUCAUGUGUUCCCACAGACCAUGUAUUUGCAUCGAUGACAGACUUUUACGUGUUUGACAUGUUGGUAACAGACCUUUAUGUGUUCCUACAGACCGUGUCGACACAUUAGUAAGUAAAUGGUUCUUUUCAAACUCUUCGCCCCAGCUCUACCAUUAUGACAAAAACUAUUAGCUUGUGCCAACAUUAUGAGAACUGAAUUUCAGACAAAAAAAUUUUGCUCCAGUCUCUACAGAUUCAGGUUCAGGCUAAGUUUAAGUGUGCUGCAAGGAGUUAUCCCCUCCUUCUGGUUUCGCCCGGAAACCAGAUUCACAUCCCCAUGUUUUUUAACCUAGGGUGGCUUUCCAGAAAGGCCUACGUGCAUUUCCUGAAACCCUUAAUUUUUCCAGAAUUAACAAACAAACUUUAGUACUUUGUUGGCUCCUCCCCAGCCUCCAUAUGAGAAAAGCGCAGACAGUCGAUAACAGGAACGUCGAUUCCGUGUGUUUCAGUGGUGAAAUACGUUAUAUAGGAAAUCACUUAAAGUACACCAAAGCAACCAUAAUGAAGGCCAAAUUAAAUCAAUGUAUUUGUUGAAAAUAUAAAAAAUAUACAAUGUGUGUCCUUAUAAAAAGGAGCAAUGGUGGUCAGUAAUAGGAGAAGGAAGUAACACUUCUCAAAAGAAGCCUUAAAACUACUUAUUGAGGAGGGGGUCAAAAAUCUAUCUAUUCUAAUAUAAUAAUUACUACACUGUUGUGCAGCAUUAGACACAUAACAAGAACAGCACAGUAACAAUCAAGGAG